GGCCUCCUGAUGCUUACCGCAGGCUGUGUUCUCACACUGACUGUAUGGAAAAAGGCUGUAGAGUAAACCCACCCCAUGUACACCUCAGCUCAGGCCCUGUGCCUGGUCUGUACUGUGAAUGGGGAAACAUAG
rnacentral:snoRNA from 1 species